UCUCUUCUGUUUCCUUUUCCGGUGUCCUGUUGGUGGUGGCGUGCGCCACCACCAUCUACCCAAAGCACCAUGAUGUUCCAACAAUGAUGGAUGGAUUAAAAGCCAGAAGUCUGUACGACCAUCAGCAUCAAGUGACUCCGUGAAAAACCCGAACUACAAAGAGGACUAUUUCAUUUAUGUUAGGUAGAAUGCCCAGAGGGGACUGGGCGGUCUCGUGGCCUGGAACCCCUACAGAUUUUAUUUUUUUCUCCAGCCUUAUGGAGUUUUGUUUUUUUUUUUUUUUCUGUCCACCCUGGCCAUCGGACCUUACUCUUAUUCUAUGUUAAUUAAUGUUGUCUUAUUUUAAUUUCUUACUUUGUCUUUUAUUUUUCUUUUCUUCAUUAUGUAAAGCACUUUGAGCUACAUUUUUUUGUAUGAAAAUGUGCUAUAUAAAUAAAUGUUGUUGUUGUUGU